rnacentral:lncRNA from 1 species
UCAAUGGAAAAAAAUUAAAAAAUUCAUAAUUGUGUCAACCAUUUUCUUGAAUCUGUCGCAACCUCAUUCUUCUAUUUGAACCAAAUGGCUCGCGAGCUUGUGUAACGAGUAAUAGUGAUACCUAAAAAAAUUCCAACAUUUAUUUUCCUUUGAUCAAUAUCUACAAAAUGAAAAUACCAUGUAACUACUAUCAAAUAAUUAGAAAAAUAUUAAAAUGAAUCAUUAGUAGCAAAUCAUAUGGUGUUAUAAUCAUAAAUGAAAUAUUAAAAUGAAUGAUUAGUAGCAAAUCAUAUGGUUUUAUAAUCAUAAAUGAUUAUAACUAUUACUCUCAUCGUUUAUGCUGCCGAUAGUUAUAAUUAUAAAUGAUUAUUAUUGGUCCCAAUCAUGGUAUCACUGCUACACCCUCCCUCUUCUUGAUCUAGUUUACCUAUAAACAUAAUAUCUAGCAACAUAUUUGAUUUAGAAGCAGAAUUCCAACAAUAAUAUGUUUAGCCAAAUCGGCGUACCAGAAACACGAAUUGGAGCACCAUAAACAUGAAUCGGAGCAACAUAUUGGAUCGUCACUGGGUCGUACCAAAGAGCGUUUAGAACAUGAUUGGUAUCAUGAGAUUCAAAGAGGUGACCAAUAGUGAGAACCCUAGCCCAACCCAGAGGAUUCGUCGGACUUGCUUGUAUGCCAACACAUCGAUUUCUUCUUGUUUUGCUUGUAGCGUUUUUAGUUCUUCCUUACUCGGAUCGUUUUUAGGCAACAGGGCAAGAGGAACUACCUUUCGAACCAUAUCCAUUACCUGAUUAUCAACAUUAUAUGAUUACUUUGAUAGAUCAUUAGAUCUACAGACUUAAUUUGAUUUCCGGAACAAUUCAAAUCAAUGGACAAAGUUUUAUGAGUGUGUUCUUAUCCAAACACUAUUCAGAGCAAUUGAGAGGAAUGAAUGUGUUCAUAACAAACAAGGAAAAUUGAAUACUUGAGAAAUCAGACGAUUAAUCAACAAAUGUGAUCUGAUGAUCAAAUUCACUGAAUAAGUAGACGAAUGAAUAAAAAAUUUAGGGAAAUCGGACAAAAAUAUUAUCAUAUGCAUACCUUAUGAGGAUGACGAUAUGCUUUAUCUCUAAAGAUGAAAAUAACACAAGCGGUUUUGUUGAUGAAGCCCUAGGUAUACACGAAAGGAAGAAAGAGACGAUAGAAUAAAAGAAAAUAGAUGAGAGAGAGAAAUUUUAGGAAUCAGCUAAAGUAGAAAUUACUGUUAUAUCCUUAUGACAAUUUUGAAGUUACACUUUAAUGCAAGUAGUUUAAAAUUUUUACAAAAACGACCCAUUUGAUAAUAGCCUUAGAUUUAGAUAUUUAAAUGGUCCAGAUCUGUUCUUGCGUUCUCAACCUUUUAGGUGUUCUCAUUUGAUCCUACUCAUAUAUAUAUAUAUAUAUAUAUAGAGAGAGAGAGAGAGAGAGAGAGAUCAUUUGAGAACUCAUAAUUUCUCGAGAACCCAAUAACUAAAAGUGGGACGCUAGAUCAAUUAUUUGGAUGGCUAAGAUAAAAAAAUGGCAUAUUCAUAAUUGUCAACCAUUUCAAUGGCAUCUUAGACUUUUUAAAAGAUAUUAGAAGGAUAUAUUAGUAAUUAAAAUUAUUAUUUUCUAAAAAUUAAUAAAUUGGUUAAUUAAAUAAUUAACAGAUACUCUUUCUAUACCUCGUCAAAUCUCCUCUCUCUCUCUCUCUCUCUCUCUCUCUCUCUCUCUUACACACAUAUAUAACAAGACACAUUCCCGUUUUCAUGCUCAGUUACUAUAUCUACGCAUAAUCCAAUUUUGACAUGUUGCGUCUGAAAGGUUUUGAGCUUUACAACAUUCCUAUGGUGCACAUGCAAUCGUAACUGCUUUGGAUCUAGGUUUUUCUCAAGUUAUACAUGCAUAAUAAUUUUCCAAAGCAAAACCCUAAUCUAUCAUACAUAUUUUCGGAUUCAAUAACUAAACCAAAGUUAAAAGAAUACAUUUUCCUUGUUGAUUGGUUGAUCUUGACCUUCAAGAGCUUAGUGCCUCAAUUGUUGCACCUCUAAUGGUGUCACAAACAUCACUAGUAAUUGGAUGAACAAGAGAGAGUGGAUGGAGGCUAAAGGUUUCGGCUAGGGUUCUUCUAUCAAGCAUUAGGGUCCGAAAACUAGUAGCCAAGAGGUCUAUUUAUACUUGUGGCUGCUAGGGUUUUAGGUGGAAACCCUAUUUUGACUGCUUAAGCCUUAAGCAACCCAUGGACACCUUCUAGAAUACUCUUUUAGACGAAUUCUAUAUGGGCUUCCCAUAGAAUUCGUCCAACCUUAUUCCAAGGUGAUCCAUCAGCCCGAUUCCAACUAUAGUGAUUUGCAAUAUCAGUCCCCAUUCUUUUAAUCAGUCUCUUUUAAUCACUAAACUAAUUCCAAAUUAAUUUCUGGUCAAUACUAAUUAAAUAAUAUGAUUUCUCAAUUAAUAUAUUUUUCUUAUAAUAUAUUAAUGAAUCAUUUAUCAAUCUAUUUCUCAUUAUUCAUCCUGUCAAGUUGCUCAAGUGAAAGCAACCCAAAAGGACCAUGCUACUAUUGGGUCAAGUACAUACCAAUUAUAGUUAUGGGCUUAGAUACCUAAUACAACAACGUCGGCAUGGUUGGUGUUUGGUUUGAGCUGACCAGGGUUUUGAAAACAUUUUUGAAUAAUUUUGGAAGUUUUAUCGAGUUGAGUUAUGUAUUGGUAAGAUCUGUUUAGUUUCAAUCAAGGUGUGGGAUCUUGUAUCGGUCAUUCAUGAUGAUGUUUAUGUUAGUGGUUGAGGUUUGUCAUUUUGGUUAGAUCUACUGGUACCACUAUUGGAUUAGAUGUCUAAGCCCAUAACUAUUAUUGGUAUGUACUCGACCCGAGAGUAGCAUGGUCCAUUUGGGUUGCAUAACACCAGGACAAUUUGUUAGGAUGGACUCUUGAGAAAAGGUUAUAUAUGAUUUAUUAAUAUAUUAUAAGUUAUAAUAUAUUAAUAUGAAAUCAUAUGAUUUAAUUAGUAUUGAUCAAGAAUUAGUUUGGAAUUAAUUUAGUGAUCAAAAGAGACUAAUUAAAUCUAUGGGGACUAGUUAUGGUAAUUAGUUAUAUUUAUAUGUGUUGGGCUUAUGAUCCGUGUUGGAAUAAGUUUAUGUAUGGAUACAUAAAGAGUUGGGCCACAUGAACCAUGGAUCAUAAAACCCAUGGGUAUGGAUUUGGGUUAUACCUAUGACCCUUGGAAUCCUACAUAUAAAUAUGUGCUCUAUAGCUAAAAAAAACGCCUAAACUAGUUCUUGGAGUUCUUGGAGGUGUUUUUGGUGCAUGGAGAUUCUCUCUCAAGAGCCACCUUUGUCCUAGGUGAGUUGUGAGUCAUUUGAGACAUUCAUACUUUUGGUGCUAAGCGAGUCCACUCGGCGAGUCCACUGGGUGACUCGAUGAGUUGCUUGAAGAUUGUAUUGGACUCGUCGAGUGCAUCAAGGGGCUCGACGAGUUGGUAGUCCUGAAUGCAGAUUUUCGACUUUUUUUGGCCUGUUUUGGAUUAGGAUCAUUACCACAAAAUGUUUUUGUUCAUAAAAUUUGAUUUUGAUUCUAUGGUAAUGAUUAUCCUCAUCCAAAUAAAGGAUAAUUGUCAAAGUUUCAAGAUUUGUAUUAGUUUAUGUGAUUAGCUAAUUUCUUGAAAAUUGUUUAUGUGAAUUAUCUUUACUUAUGAGUUUAAUCUUGUUCAUAGAAAAUUAUUUGAUUAUUAUGUUAAUUGAAAUAAUUGAUCUUAAUGGUUUUUAUGAACUCCAUAACUUGUCCUCAAGUUAUGGAAAAUGAAGAGUUUUUCCUUUUAAAGGAUUCAUUUAAAGUUCAUAGGUUAUGAAAAAUGAAAGGUCUUGUUUUUAAAUGUUAUCAUAAAAUAGUUUUAUGUCUUCCAUAACUUGUCCUCAAGUUAUGGAACUUGAAAAGUCUUCUAUAAAAACCAUAUUAAAAUCGUAAGUUAUGGAAACCAAAAGUUUUUGAAUUAUUCAAAACUUGCCCUAAAGUUUUGGAAUUUGUAAAGUUAUCCCCAUGUAUACUUUAAUUCCAAAUCAAACCCCUAGAAUUUUAAAAGUUUAAAAUUCAACCCUUGUACUAUUAUAAUAUUAUAGGUUUAAUAUUUAUACAUAUGUAUAAGAACAAAGUCAGUCUUACCGUUAGUAGGCCUCAUUCACGAAGCUGGUCUAUAAGGGGGUAUAAGGUUACUGCCUAUAAAAUGGCAGUUUAAUGGGUGUCCACUCUCACCCACCGCUUCCUUGACUGGUGGAGGGUCGUUAGCUGAACUAGUAGGACAGGACAUUAAUUCUCUCAUCAUUAAAAGUAUAAUGAUAAAUAUAAAGUAACUAAACUUUUAUUAAAUUCCUAAUCUUAGUCACUUUAGGAAAAUGUGAAUUUGGUGUUAACCCAUGAAAUUGCACUUUGCACCUUGUUAAGUCGUUAGUGGAGCGUGUGUGGUUAACCGACACACUAAUAUGGGAGUGACAAUGCGUAGCAAAGGGUAGCUUGAUGUUAAUCAUAGAGCAAUGGAGUGUGUGGUUAACCGGAACAUUGAUUAGGUGGUUGUAACAUUAAGUGUACCAAGCUCAUUUACAUGACUAUUCACUCCUUGUUUGUGAUCUUCGGCAUCCCAGUCACAAACUUGAAGGGCACAAUCGAGAUCUAAAUAAUCCAUUGAAUAGUUCAAUGAAUAUCAAAAGAUCUAGGAGUUUCAAUUCAUUUAAAAUCUAAUGUUAAAUUUCGUUUUUCAUGGUGGAAAUUGGUAAAUCGUCAUUUAUCUACCUUCAAAUAUUUUGUAGCUUGGAUUACGGCAUCCCUCUUCCAAGUUAUAAAAUAUUGUGUUGGGUCCUAGCCUUAAUAUUUCAUAUUGGGUGUUAUAUUAAGGACUUAAAUCAAUUAAAGUUGAAUUUCUCCCUCGUAGAUGUCUAGUUAUGACAACUAUGGUCUUCCUUAUCCUUUUGGAUAAAGCUUUCCUAAUGAAGAUGAUAUCCCACAUGGCGAUCAAGGUGAAAGAUUAAUCCCUGUGUUGUGCAAUAAUGGGACUAGAAAUCAUACUUCACUUCCUCCACCUCCUCCGAUUAUUCUCCCUAACCCACCAAUUCUUGAAAAUUUCAAGUUCACUCAAUCCCUAUUGGCAAGAAAUGUCUAUAUGUGCUCACAUCUUGGAGAUGAAGUCACAUAUUGACAAGCUGGGAGAGUUGGGUGUCGAAGUCUCGAGGAAGUUGGCUGUUGACUGGGUUCUUUAGUCACUCCCUGAUGACAGAUCACGACACGAACCUUAUUGAUCUUACUUAUUUUCUUGUUGCUGUUGAAUCAGCAAUGAUUUGGAGCACUGGUAAAGCAAAUUUGAUUGGAAGAUCUACUUCCCAAACUUCCAUGGACAUUAACAAUGGUAACAUUAGAAGUCCAGAAAAGCUUUAUCAACCCAAUGGUAAAGAGAAAGGCUAAGUUAGUGAUAGUCCCGUGUAACAUUACCAAAGAGUCCAUAUUUUCUAUUGCAAAAAAAAGAGCAUUGGUUGUGAAGCUGCCCUAUUUACCUGAAAGUUCACUAGGAUUGUAAAAGUCAAAAAGUUUAACUAUGCUUCGGGUAAAAUCCACUAUCUAACUCUAUUAAGUUCUUGCUCUAGAUUGAUUUGAACUUCCUCUUAAACAAGAAGGUAGCGGUAUUGGUCUUAUAGGUGCUGACCAGGUGCUCAACUCAACAUUGAAUCCUUUCAUAGCAGUUGAGUUUGAUACUUAUAGAAACGAUUGGGACCCACCUGGUGAUCAUGUAGGUAUCAAUAUCAAUUCCAUGGUAUCAGUUAAAAAUGUGACAUGGUCAAAUCUUGUUAAUAAUGGGCAAAGAAACGUAGCAAGGGUAAGUUACAACUCUAGUGCAAAAAGGUUAAGUGUUGCGUUUAUUGGUUUUGAUCAAACAGGAGUUUUCAUACAGAGACUUAGCCAACUAGUUGAUCUGAAAGAGUAUCUACCAGAAUAUGUUAGUAUUGUUUUCACAGCUUCAACCGGUGAUUACUUUGAGAUACACACUAUUCAUUCAUGGGAUUUCAAUUCAGGCUUACCUACCCAUGAUGAGAUCAUUGGUCCGAUUGGUUCAGAGAUUAGUAUAAAUAGUUCUACACCCAGUCCAUCAGUAGUGAUGCUUUUGCAACCAGUACUCCAUCAGUCACAAAGACAAUUUAAAGUAGUUUUGGGUAUUGGUCUUGGUUUAGGUUUACCUGAAAGUUCAGAAGGAAAAUGUCGGGAGACAGGUCGUUAAUGUUUCAGUUGUGGUUAGAUGGGUCAUUUUAGUCGGGAUUGCACCCGUGGGUUGUCUCUGAUGUGUUUUACUGUAAUCAGGUGGGUCACAAGAACGCCGAUUGUCCGAUGUUGACGGCUGGAGCAAUGAGUGCACCUUACUUUGAAGAUCAUUGACGGUUGUGAGGGUAGGGCAGGAGCCCCAACAACGAGGAGCCGAACAUUGCACUGCCAGUCAGGGGAGGCCAGGGCUUCAUCAGAUAUGAUUGUGGGUAUGUUGUCUUUUGCUUUCUUCUUAUCAUUAUCAAUAUUUAUAUUGGUUUUCAAUCUUUUUUGGGUUUGUAUAAGCAUUAUCCUUUGUUUAGUUCUAUACUUUUGCUAGGGCUAUGUCAUCAAGGAUUAUUAUAUGCCAUUUUGCAUGCCAAGAGUCAUUAGUUGGUCAUAUCUUGCUGAGCGGAAUUCAGUUUGUUUGGUUGUUGUUUUGGUUCUUUGAAGGGGUCAAUUCAGGGGUAUCAUUUGGAAGGUCUAUGGUCGGAUCAACUAGUUAGUUCUUCAAUGAAGUCAAAGUUCAGAUAUGAUAGCAUUUGUUCAAGUAGGAUCGACAUUCGUCUAUGGCAGGAGCUUUGGGUCCAAUCUCUACCGUUGCUAGGGAAGGAGCGGUAGCAAGAAGAUGAAGGUUGCAACCACAUAAGUUUUUUUGGUCAUUGGAAGUACCUGUAGAAUUUUAUUAUCGCAGGGGUGGAAGAUGGUUACAAUUCAGAGAUUCUUCUGAGGAUGGGAAGUUGGAGUGAAGAUUCACCAGUUCAGAGCAAGGUUAUGGUCUUUGUCACCAACAUAAAGGACUUAAGGAUUUGGUGAUGUAUCAUGGGAAUCGAUUGGGGUUAUCAGGUUUGCUGAGAUUUCAGGGAGUAUUCAUCUGGAUUUCAAGAAUUGUGCGAUCAUCAAGAUUGACUAUUAAUGGAACGCUAGUAUUGGUAAGCGCAGGUUACUGGCGGUUCGAAAUAUAAGGAGGUAAUAUGGGUUGGGAAUUCAUCAAAUUUUGUGGGUUGGGGGAGCUUCAAUGAAUCCAAGUGGGGGAGAAUCGUUUAGAUUUCCGGGAGCUAAAUCAGGUGUGAAACUAGGAUGAGUUUCACAUCCCAGUCGGGAGGGAAGACGACUUAAGUGGUCGUUAGGAUUGAAGUUGUGUAAGUUGGGAGUUCAGGAAACUUCCAACAGCUGGUUGGCGCCUUUUUUGUGAUGUAUAGCAGACAUGUGGAUGGAUUUAGGUUGUGGGUUAACUUAGAUCCUCUAUUCCUGUUCUUGUUUGAUGAAGGAUUUUGGGUUCGAGGCAUGACCCAAACACCUGAUUGGGAUUUAGUCGAAUGCGGGUUUGACUCAAGAUGAUUAUGGUUGAUAUGGUAGAGGUGUGGUAAGACCAUGGGCGAUGACCAUGGCAGGAUAGGUGUGUCGUAAGACUGCGGGGUGGUCGUAGCAUUUACUGGAUUGGCAGAUAGUAUGGAAGUGUUGUAAGACUACGGGGUGGCCUUAGCAUUCACCAGGAUAUCAGGCAGUUGUGGAAAUUUGUUGUAAGUCUACUAUUGGAUCGUAGCAUUCAACCAAUUGAGGUAGAUCAUCAUUGGGGUAGUCUAUAGUAUAAAGGAGGAUCAACUCGUGCCUUGGGCAAGGCGGCCAGUGGGGUCAGAAAGCAUCUCUUUAUUAUGGGAGGAGGACCAUUGGGGUAUGAGGCAAGGUUGGGCCGAUGUAGUCCUCGAUGAUGUGAGACUUGUGGGCGUGGCCCGUUCGUUGGUAUAGACUGGGUGAGACUUAUGGGCGAAGCCCGUAUGAUUAUGGCAAUGCAGGUGAGACCUGGUAGAGACCGGUUGGGUCAAGGAAUUGGAUUAUGGUUUUAGUGGGAUGGUCAUGUGACUAGUGAGUGGCAUAUUGUGGUAUAUAGGCUAGGGUAGCCUUAUCAGUUGGACCCUUAGGAACCUGGUGGUUAGACCAGGUGUGAGACUGGUAGUCUCAGCGGUGGAUGGGGGAUUUUUAUAUCCUAGUUUAGUGAAUGGAUGCCGUAAAUAAGAAGAUAUCGAGUGAAAUGCAAGUGUAAAUCCUUGGAUCUCAGCUUAUGAGUUAUGUAUCGAGUUGGCUUUUGGUCGAGACUCGUAUUGGGAGUUGUUAGUGUGUUUAUGCAAGAUCUUUACUUCAGUAAGUUAUGGAUUAAGGAAUCUGUAUAACAGGUUAUCGGUUGGAAGUUUCAGGGUCAAAAGGAUGCUUUCAAUUAUGAUGGUAGGAGGAGACCCUUGUGAUUGUGUUUCAGAAUGGUUUUACCUGUGCAGAGGUCAGGCAAGUUAUGGGGAUUCAGAAUUAUAGAAGUAACGUAUUGGAUCAAAAAUUAUGGGAUCAAUGAUUUGUUUAAAACUAGAAGGUUUGUUCGGAAAGUUGGUUUCUAGGAGGGUGGUAAGGAGUGAUUUUUAGGACGAAAUCUAAUUUAUGUGGGGGAGAGUUGUAACGCCCUAUUCUGAAUCGUUUCCUAAUGCGGGGCGGUGACCUAAAGUUCGGGUAUCAUAAGGCUUAGAGCCUUUGGAAAUGAGAUAUUUAGACCCAUUUGGGUGUGGGUAAUGUAAUUUAUGUGAUCCGGAAGUUCGGUUUGUGUUUUGGAGCCAAGAGGUAUAUCGGUAAAGUGGCAGUUUGGGAUUUUAUGAAUAUUGGGUUUUUUUCGGGAAUUUUUAAGGCAAGGAUAAGUUGAUAGAAGCGUAGAGCUUCUUGUUACCUUUCUGUGGAUAUAAGGAUCGUCAGAAUCAGAAUUAUAAUGGAGAAGUUAUGGAUUUCGAAAGAUUGGUGGUUAUAGGGUGAAACCUAGUAUGCGGGGCGUACAUAAGUGUACGUUGGGCGUACUAGUGUUAAUUCAAGUAUCUAGGGCGUACGAAUAUGUACGAUAGGCGUACUAAGCAGAUGCAUCGUUGGUGUUGUUUGGAGUACGUGGGUGUACCCGAAUUACGCAUGGCAUACUCUAGUCAGGCCCAAACCCUAAUUGAGGGUCUUGGACCCUAUUUAAGCUCCUUAACUCACCACCAAACCCUAUUAUUAUCUUCAGCCUCCAUCCCUCAAAACCCUAGAAACGAAACCCUAGCCCCCAUUUUAGUGGUUUUUGGCUUUUGGUGGUAUUUCAUGCUUUUUGGUGUUCAUAGAAGAGGAAGGAACUUCUUGGAGAAGUGUGGGAUUGCUUGAAGCCUUUGGAUCCAGGCUUGUUGCAUCUUGAUCUACCUUUUUGAGGUAUAAAGUUUCUAUCUUGAUGACUCUAGGUGUUAGAUCUAGUUUAAGGAGUAUUUUAGGUUCAUUUUGGUCCUUAGAGUCAUCCUUGUGAGUAUGAGCUACUCCAAGAGCUUAGAAUGUUGGAUCUUGGCCUUUGGGAGGUCCCUUGUUCAUAAAAAUGUAAUCUUGAUGAAUUAUUUUGGACCAUGCAUGAAUUUGAGUGUUUUCUAUGGAUUUUAUUAAGGUUUUGGUCCUAUUAAGCCAUGCAAAGUAGUAACAUUGCAAACUUUAUGUUUUAAGACAUCUCAUUAGGGUCAUAUCUGAGUUUUGAAUUCAAUAUCUUAACCAUUAAGAACUUAAUAUGGAUUUUUGUUCUCUGAUGUGUACGUUGGGCGCACGUAGGAGUACGCUCAGCGUAAUGGGUGUUUCGUGCCUCACUUAGUUGUACCUUGUGCUUCAUUAUUGAGUACGCGAGGUGUACGUCUCUGGUACACAAGGCGUACUCCCCAAAAUGGUCAUUUUGGACCUUGUUGGGCCAUUGGACUUCUUAUUUUGGGCCAUGUUUAGGCUCUGGGCUUUCUUAGAAUAUGUCAUAUGAUAGUUUUUAGGCCAAAUUAGGAAGUUGGGCCGUAUUGGGCUUUGGGUUGCCAUUUUCGGCUUUUUGUGCAAUUGGGUUGGGCCUUGGUUUUAGGCCAAGUAAGUAAAGGGUAAAAUGGUCUUUUACCCAUUAGGAAGUUAGUUUAUGGAGUGGACCUCAGGUUUUGGGUUUUGGGAUAAUUAUUGAUUAAGUUUUGUAUUUAAUGUUAGUUGGCGCAAGGUUAUCCGGUUCAUCGGCCCAAGCAAUCAUUUGAUUAUCAACGGAUCGAGGUGAGUUUCCUCAGUGUGUUUAGCGCGUCGAAGGCACCAAUGACGAUCCAUGGUUUAUUAUGUUAGGAUGUUAGAUGUCUACAUGACUCUUGUAUGUGUUAUGUGAUGGAAUGCUUACCGAGCAAGGCCCGAUGCCGGCCAUGGCUCGAUGAGUGUAUUGUGUGCUAUUGUAUUUGUGAUUAUCUCAUGUGUCCGUAUGAUUAUAUGUUGAUAUGUUUAUAUGUGUACCGGGCGUGGCUCGAUGCUAGGCGGAGCCUGAUGAUUGACAGAUCUCAAUACCGAGCGGGGCUCGAUGACGGGCGGUGUCCGAUGCCGGAUGGGACCCGAUGUUGGGCGAGGCCCGAUGAAGGGCGGGGGCCAAGUAUGUGACUAUUAUGUAUGGUAUGGGGUAUUUUGGGGAACUCACUAAGCUUUGCGCUUACGGUUUUUAUGGUUAUGGUUUCAAGUAUUUCCGGUUAGAAAGGGAAAGGUCCGACUUAAUCUCAACACAUCAUGUUUCCGUAUUAUGAUGAUUUUGGGAUUGUACUAUGAUAACUGUUUUUUUAUAAAGUAUUUUUGAAUAUUUAGAAAAAGGAUAUAGAAUGUUGACUUAAAGACAAUCAAUGUUUUGGUUGAAUUAAAAAUGAAAUUUUUACCUCAUAAUUUUGGAACGUUACAUUUAUGUUUCCCAUGGCUUCAAGUAAACAUAUAAUACCUUCUUUUUUCGACCUUGAGCCUUGACUUCAAGUAAACCACAUGCUAAAAGCGAAUGCUCUAUCAAUCCUUGCAUUAUGAGUUUGUGUAUGGUUUGAUUUUCAUUUUAUUUUAUGGGUUUGAUUCGGUUUGAGUUUCUAGGUUUGAUUUGGCAUCAGUGCUAGUGCUAAGGUUUUUUCUAAGUUUGAUUCUUGUUUGUUUGAUUUUCUGGUUUUGAUUUGCAUUUAACUUUUUGGGUUUGAGUAUUUUUAUUUGAUUUUUUAGGUUUGUUUUGUCAUCAACUAUGACUCUUUUCUGGAUUCCACAUUAUAUAUUAUGAUUUGAGAACUUGAUGUCAGUUGUGCUUAGUUAGUUGCAUUGGGUAGUUGAGCAAAACGUUGUUGGCAAAGUUGAAAUCGCCGAUAUUGAAGGAUGAUAAAUAAAAUUGUAAUUUAUAAGAUGUUUUCCAAUUAUACAUUCAAGAUCUGUACAAAAUUGUAAAAUUUUCAUAACCACAAGCUAAGGGUAGGAAAUUUCUAAAAAAUGACACUCACAUUUUUGCCAACAAUAGUAGUGAUAACAAUUAUAAGCACAAAAUAAACCUAAAAACAAUCAUUUCAACAAUAUAUAAUACGUUUUUUAGUUUUAUUUGAAGAAAUUUGUUACCAAAUGUUACCAAGUUUUUUCUGGUUUGGCAUUUUUGGCUGGUAUUACAUGUAAUUUUUUUUUAUUAAUUUAAAGAUUAGAAAAAAUAAAAUGAUACCACCAUCUUUAUCUCUGUUGUAGAUGCUUCCUUUUAACCCUCUCUUUCUUCUUUUGAGGCUAUAUCUCCUUUUCAUUUUCUUGCAAUAUGUUAAUAUUCCAAAGAAAAUAUGUAAAACAUAAAACUAAAAGCAUAGCUAGAUUCAUGCAACUGGUUAACUCAUUUUUACAAAUAAAAAAAAUGCUAUUUCUUUUUUAAGGAAAUGUAAGGAACAAAAAAAAAUGAUAAUGCAUUUUCAAAUCGUUUUAUCAGAUUAAAAAAUAAUAACACGUUUUUAGGGACAAAACAAAUUCUACCUUACCAAAUGUUUGAUUCCUAGUUAAGUAAUUUUCUAAACCAUCUUUUGUGAAAAACAAUUAUAUUAUAUGUUUUAAAGCAAACCUAGAUUACACAAUAACAUAUAUGAACUUAAAAAGCUUGACUGGAAAGACAAUCACUGAAAUAGAUUUGAAAUGGUGGAUAUGAUAUUGCUUACUUUAAUCCAAUAUCUAAAAAAACAGAUCAUUGCAGAAAAAUGGAAGCUAAACGCUUGAUUCAUUAAAAGCAUUCAAAGUUGAAACAGUCGGUGAAUGUCUUACAUAAAUGGACAUUGAACCUUCUUCGCCUCUUUAAGCGAGUUUGCAUGGUAUUUCGUUUUUUGCUCACUCACCAAUAAAGAGCAGUAUACGCUUGUACCCAAGGGAAAACCUCCAAAGGCAUCCCGUUGGGGUCACAAAUAUUCUCAUACAGGUGUCUUUUAAAUAUGUGAAGAACACUUUCCGAUGAAAACCCACUUCAAUUAAUCAUAACCCAGAUUCAUUAAUUACUAACACAGCUUCAAUCGAUCGAAAAACAGGUGUUUUGUGCUCGAAAUGGAAGUGUUCUAGCCUGAUUCAAGUGUGUCGACAAUUCUUUCAAGCAUUUCAUCAAGCACUUAAUAUGCAUCUUCAAAUCUGCCAAGUUUAAACAACAAAAACAAUAUAAUAAGCCCCAAAUUAAUUUAUUUUUAACAGAGCAUGUUUGUCCGAAAUUCGGAGCAUACAAUGGAUUUAAGAAAUUCAUAAUCAAAGUACAGCAAGCAAUCAUAAUUAUAGAAGAAAGAAACCAAUUUGAAGGAGAAUGUAGAAAAUGAGAACAUAUACGGGAGACGGUUGGAGAAAUAAAUAGAUUUUAGGGAAGAGAGUUGGAAGCUUACCUGUGACGUUGUUGGUGGAGGAAGACGCUAGAUUUGUCGAGGAACUCGUAAUAGUGGCGAAGGUGGGGUUUGCUCAAGUGUGGUGGUCGCAGGUGGAAAGCAAAUAGAAGCAUAGAAGGAGGCGAUGGUGAACCGAGACGGGGGAGGCGGUGAAAAGAUGAGGAUGCAUAGAAGAGGAUCUGAUGAGUUGGUUUCCUUUAACAGUUGACCUUUGAGAUAUUGAUGACACUUUUAUCAUAUGAUUAAAAGUGAUAAAAUUCAUAAACAUAAAAAGUAAAGGGGGGAGAAAACAAUAUCAAAAUGGUCAAUAGAGAAAAUAAGAGGACCAAAAUAGAC